UGGCUGUGACUCAAUGGUAGAGCAUCUGCUUUGCAUGCAGAAGGUUCCAGGUUCGAUCCCUGUCAAGCAGCACAU